GAGGGACCACCACCCCGGUCUGCCAUCCCAGAGGCACUGUCCCCGACCGCCACGCGAUGUUGCACAGGCGUGUCAACCAAGACAGCCCCACAACAUCCAGAGACUUGAGGUACUCAGGGCGGAUCUCAUCCACCCCCGGUGCCUUGCCACUGAGGAGUUUCUUAACCACCUCGGUGACUUCAGCCCGGGUGAUGGACGAGUCCACCUCUGAGCCUUCAUCCUCUGCUUCCUCAAUGGAAGACGUGACGGCGGGAUUGAGGAGAUCCUCGAAGUACUCCUUCCACCGCCCGACGACAUCCCCAGUUGAGGUCAACAACUGCCCACCUCUACUGUAAACAGCGUUGGUAGGGCACUGUUUCCCUCUCCUGAGGCGCCG
ensembl:lncRNA